CGAGCACCGUGGCGAAAACGACGAGACCCAUUAUAUUGGUUCCUGACACGCUUUUCGACACUGGCUUCCAUUCGUCCAUGUUAUCUGCUUCAACGAAGGAUACAUUGAUAUUAUGUCGCUAAAAUAACUGUCUCGAUCUUGACCGACCUAGUACAACAGCGCUAAUCGUGGUCACCAUGUAAUACACUAUAGCACGAACACCAAUUUUCCCGCUCAAUGACAGAUCGAGGGAUCCAAUUGCCGAGAUCAGGCUGGAUAUGAUAAGCG